AAGAUUCGUCCCUCGGGACAACCUCUUCAGCUGUGCGCUUCGGCUGCACGCUGUUGAACUUCACACACCUGUGCACCAUUCGGUCGUGUUCGGUCCGCAAGGUCGAACGCUUCCGCUUUUACAUCUCACAACACAGUCCAGAAUGUCUAAAACCAUAACUAUAA
rnacentral:misc_RNA from 1 species